CUUUUUCUGAAUGAUACAGAUGUUUCCAGUCACAUUUGCCAACAAACUGCAUUGAUGGACUAUGAGCACCCAAGUCUUUUGAUGUGACUUGACAUUUGAAAUAAAAAAGAACAUGGCAAAGCGCUAGUGAAACAAGUAAACUGGAUGUCAAUCUCCCUUUUAUUUUCUUUUUCUUUUUUGCGGACAUAGUGAACUUGUUUUGUUGUAUAAAAUGGGUUGUACGAUGCUUUGUAUUUUGUGGAUUUCGAAACUGCUAAGAAAAGGCUUGUGACUGUGCGUAUAUAGAUAUGCUUCUGCCUUUAUGUUCUGUUAAA